rnacentral:rRNA from 1 species
AUUUAAAAUCUGGUGGUCUUUGGCCAUCCGAGUUGUAAUCUAGAGAAGUGUUACCCGCGUCGGACCGUGUACAAGUCUCCUGGAAUGGAGCGUCAUAGAGGGUGAGAAUCCCGUCUUUGACACGGACUACCGAGGCUUUGUGGUGCGCUCUCAAAGAGUCGAGUUGUUUGGGAAUGCAGCUCAAAAUGGGUGGUAAAUUCCAUNUAAAGCUAAAUAUUGGCGAGAGACCGAUAGCGANCAAGUACCGUGAGGGAAAGAUGAAAAGAACUUUGGAAAGAGAGUUAAACAGUACGUGAAAUUGCUGAAAGGGAAACGCUUGAAGUCAGUCACGUUGGCCGGAAAUCANCCUUGCUUUUGCUGGGUGUAUUUUCUGGUUGACGGGCCAGCAUCAGUUUUGACCGGUGGAAAAAGUUCAAGGGAAUGUGGCAUCUUUGGAUGUGUUAUAGCCCUUGGUCGUAUACAUCGAUUGGGACUGAGGAACUCAGCACGCCGAAAGGCCGGGCACGUUCGUGCUUAGGAUGCUGGCAUAAUGGCUUUAAUCGACCCGUCUUGAAACACGGACCAAGGAGUCUAACAUGCCUGGCGAGUGUUUGGGUGGAAAACCCGGACGCGUAAUGAAAGUGAAAGUUGAGAUCCUUGUCAUGGGGAGCAUCNACGCCCGGACCAGAAGUUUUSUGACGGCCCUGCGGUAGAGCAUGUAUGUUGGGACCCGAAAGAUGGUGANCUANGCCUGAAUAGGGUGAAGCCAGAGGAAACUCUGGUGGAGGCUCGUAGC